AUGGAGAGAAAUCCCGGCUGCUUCCCACCGCCCCAGCAGCCCACCACCUGCCAGGAAGGGGCCAGGUGGUCUCGCUUCCAGAGGCUGAGGAGCAUCCUCGAGGCACCCCCACUCUUACACUGCCUGUCCCCUGAGGUUGCCUGGCAUCGCGUGGAAAUCUGUAGUCCUGGCCCCGUGCCUUGCUCCCUCCUCGGCGCCCGGGACUUGGCCCUCGGGUGGGAUUCCUGUGUCCUUGGUAAGCUGAUCCAGUCCUUGCAUUUAGUCAGCGUCUCUGGUGCCUUUGACCCAGGCCCUGGGAAUCGACCCCAGGUGACAACUGAGGACGAGCGAAGAGACAAGUGCUGCUGGGGUCAGAGGGUAUCCAGAACUGCUCGGGCCAACCAGCGCGGUAGUCGCCCCGCUGGGCCCCCGUAGCGUGCCCCUCAGGCCGUGUCCACGCUGCUGCCCUCUUUCCCAAUAGGAGAACACUCUCCACCUGCCACUUCCUGCCCCUCCCCCCCCAGGCCACCAGCAGUGUGGACAGCAGAGGCCCAGGCCCUGGGGCCACCCUAUCAGGUCACUUUUCUAAUGAGAGAAUGAGGGUGCCCAGCGGUGGCCCCUAGUCUGGCUGGGGUGAACGGGGAGGUGGUGGUGGCUUCUCAGGCCCCACGGCACCUGCUCCCUUGAGUCCCGUGCCUCCCAGCUGCUGGCCACACUCCUCCCAGGAAGGGAGAGGGGCUCGCCUAGCCACUGAGACCCGUCAGAGCCCCCACCAGAGGCACAAAUGGCGAGGCCUGUCCCUGCGAUGGUCUCAGUCCUUCAGACCCACCGUGGGGUGGGGGUGGGGGGACACCUUUGUCCUGGAGGUAGCCACUCCCCACACCCAGUUUGCACAGCACCGGGGAGACCCCUUCUGCGGGCACAUCGGUCAUUCAGUGUUGAUUUGGUGACUGAUUUGUCUAAGGGCAUGUCUUACCCGCUUCUAGCCUUUCCGGUUAGGCAGUGAGCCCACUGGCGCACCCCGUCCGUCGGAGGGACUCAUUUUAGUGCCCUUCUGGGGGUCUAAGACCUUUCGUUCCACCAGACCCUGCUGCCUGCAUCUGUAGCCUUGGCUGGCAAAUUCAGUGCUUUGGUCAAAUUUAUAUUCUGUGUUCUCUGGCCAAAAAAAAAAAAAAAAAAAAAAAAAAAAAAAUAUAUAUAUAUAUAUAUAUAUAUAUAUAUAUAUAUAUUCAUUAGUGUCAUGGGCACUCUUGAUUUGUUGAGGCUUUUAAAGCCCAAAUUCACCUAACUAGAAUUUUAAAUAAAAAUGGGAAAAGAAAGAAAGAAACCCGAAAUCGUGGGCAUGCUCCUUUGAGAGGCAAACUCGGAGAAUCGUUCCUGAUGUGGCUUCUAACCUCCCUAAACAUCGCGCCGGGGCUGCUGGGCGCUCGUGGAGGGGAGGUCCCCACCGCGCGCUCCUGGCUCUUGAGUCGCCCCCUCUGCGCCUCGCAGCCCUGAAUAACUAUGCUGCCGCCGCCGCCGCCGCCGCCGCCACCACCACCACCGUGUACCUCGGUUGCGGGGCCAGAUCUGCUCGGGCUGCUGGCGCCCCUGAUUUGCAGGGUGGACACCUCCUGCCGCCUCCUGCAGGCUUUGCAUUCAAGGAGGCUGGUCCGUCCCCUGCUGUCCAGAAAAAACCUGCUUGCAGGUUUGCCUCUUGCCUUCUCCAACACUCAUUAAUCGAGGGAAGGCCAGCAUCCCUACCUGGGAUGUAGUCCUGCCCCGUGUCUAUCUCAAGAUGCCGUCACCUUUCCCAGUUAAGGAUGACACUUGUCGCAAAGAUGAUGCCCACAGGGGCCAAAGUGUCCGCUGCCACUCUGUGAAGGGCGCGCUCCUCAGCCUUUCCCUGUGGUCCUUUGUAGUCGUGGUGGGGCAAGAAGAUGCCCUUGAGCCGUUUUCCUCAAACAUCUGCUUUGACGGUGUAGGCCUUUCAGUGGGAGAAGCAGAGGAUUCCUGCUUUUCCUGUGGUCAGCUGAUAGAAAUACGCCAAGACUAGGUUCUGACUGCAGUUGUCACCCACUGGUGGCAUCAUGAGGUGGUGGGGAGGUGCCAGAGAACUGGGACACCUGAGCUCUCUGCUGGACGGUCACUACCUCAUGAUGACCUUGGACAAGUCGUGCCAUCACUCUGGCCUCCGUUUCGUUCACUGUAUGAAAGGAAGACGUUGGGCAGAUCAGUCCGGGGGUCUCUGGCUCUGCCAUGCUCUGUGCCGGGUCUCUCUCGUGGGCGGGGAAGCUGCAGUGGCCGCGUCAGGGGCUUCCUUGCCUUCCUGCCCCUGUGGCUCCUCUCGGGCCAGCAGGGUGACCCUGAGCCCUGCCUUCUUUCCCUCGGCCUUCCCGCAGAUGGCACCCUCAGCCGCGGGAGCUCCGCCAGCGCCAGGGCCUCAGCUCUCCCCCUCGUGUGAGCGGGGAGGGGGGGGGCAGCGCUGAGCAGGCCCUCGGGAGGUACGUCUGAAUCGGCCCCGAGCUGCUAAGAACGGCCCGCACG
rnacentral:lncRNA from 1 species